AAAAUAAAUUUCCAACGUCUAACACACAUCGUUUACGGCAUGGACUACGAGGGUAUCUAAUCCUCUUCGCUACCCAUGCUUUCGUUCCUCAGUGUCAGUAAUGAUCCAGAAAGCUGCCUUCGCAAUUGGUAUUCUUUCUAAUAUCUACGAAUUUCACCUCUACACUAGAAAUUCUGCUUUCCUCUAUCAUACUCUAGCUGAAAAGUUUUGAUGGCAGUUCCAGAGUUAAGCUCUGGGAUUUCACCACCAACUUUUUCAACCACCUACGAACUCUUUAAGCCCAGUAAAUCCGAACUACGCUAGGUCCCUUCGUAUUACCGCGGCUGCUGGCACGAAGUUAGCCGGACCUUCUUAUUCGGGUACAGUCAUUUUCUUCCCCGACGAAAGAGCUUUACAACCCAAGGGCCUUCUUCACUCACGCGGCAUCGCUGCAUCAGAGUUUCCUCCAUUGUGCAAGAUUCCCCACUGCUGCCUCCCGUAGGAGUUUGGGCCGUGUCUCAGUCCCAAUGUGGCUGAUCAUCCUCUCAAAUCAGCUAUGGAUCAUAGUCUUGGUAGGCCAUUACCCCACCAACAAACUAAUCUAGUGCGGGCUCAUCCAUUGGUGCAUAAAGCUUUCUCCGUAAAGACUUAUCCGGUAUUAGCACAAGUUUCCUCGUGUUAUUCCAGGCCAAAGGGUAGAUACCCACAUGUUACUCACCCGUCUGCCACUAAGUAUUGCUACUUCGUUCGACUUGCAUGUGUUAGGCGUGCCGCCAGCGUACGUUCUGAGCCAGGAUCAAACUCU
rnacentral:rRNA from 1 species